GAAAUCAACCGAGAUUCCCCCAGUAGCGGCGAGCGAACGGGGAGGAGCCCAGAGCCUGAAUCAGUGUGUGUGUUAGUGGAAGCGUCUGGAAAGGCGCGCGAUACAGGGUGACAGCCCCGUACACAAAAAUGCACAUAUUGUGAGCUCGAUGAGUAGGGCGGGACACGUGGUAUCCUGUCUGAAUAUGGGGGGCCCAUCCUCCAAGGCUAAAUACUCCUGACUGACCGAUAGUGAACCAGUACCGUGAGGGAAAGGCGAAAAGAACCCCGGCGAGGGGAGUGAAAAAGAACCUGAAACCGUGUACGUACAAGCAGUGGGAGCACGCUUAGGCGUGUGACUGCGUACCUUUUGUAUAAUGGGUCAGCGACUUAUAUUCUGUAGCAAGGUUAACCGAAUAGGGGAGCCGAAGGGAAACCGAGUCUUAACUGGGCGUUAAGUUGCAGGGUAUAGACCCGAAACCCGGUGAUCUAGCCAUGGGCAGGUUGAAGGUUGGGUAACACUAACUGGAGGACCGAACCGACUAAUGUUGAAAAAUUAGCGGAUGACUUGUGGCUGGGGGUGAAAGGCCAAUCAAACCGGGAGAUAGCUGGUUCUCCCCGAAAGCUAUUUAGGUAGCGCCUCGUGAAUUCAUCUCCGGGGGUAGAGCACUGUUUCGGCA
rnacentral:rRNA from 1 species